AGAGUUUGAUCAUGGCUCAGAUUGAACGCUGGCGGCAGGCCUAACACAUGCAAGUCGAGCGGAUGAAGGGAGCUUGCUCCUGGAUUCAGCGGCGGACGGGUGAGUAAUGCCUAGGAAUCUGCCUGGUAGUGGGGGAUAACGUCCGGAAACGGGCGCUAAUACCGCAUACGUCCUGAGGGAGAAAGUGGGGGAUCUUCGGACCUCACGCUAUCAGAUGAGCCUAGGUCGGAUUAGCUAGUUGGUGGGGUAAAGGCCUACCAAGGCGACGAUCCGUAACUGGUCUGAGAGGAUGAUCAGUCACACUGGAACUGAGACACGGUCCAGACUCCUACGGGAGGCAGCAGUGGGGAAUAUUGGACAAUGGGCGAAAGCCUGAUCCAGCCAUGCCGCGUGUGUGAAGAAGGUCUUCGGAUUGUAAAGCACUUUAAGUUGGGAGGAAGGGCAGUAAGUUAAUACCUUGCUGUUUUGACGUUACCAACAGAAUAAGCACCGGCUAACUUCGUGCCAGCAGCCGCGGUAAUACGAAGGGUGCAAGCGUUAAUCGGAAUUACUGGGCGUAAAGCGCGCGUAGGUGGUUCAGCAAGUUGGAUGUGAAAUCCCCGGGCUCAACCUGGGAACUGCAUCCAAAACUACUGAGCUAGAGUACGGUAGAGGGUGGUGGAAUUUCCUGUGUAGCGGUGAAAUGCGUAGAUAUAGGAAGGAACACCAGUGGCGAAGGCGACCACCUGGACUGAUACUGACACUGAGGUGCGAAAGCGUGGGGAGCAAACAGGAUUAGAUACCCUGGUAGUCCACGCCGUAAACGAUGUCGACUAGCCGUUGGGAUCCUUGAGAUCUUAGUGGCGCAGCUAACGCGAUAAGUCGACCGCCUGGGGAGUACGGCCGCAAGGUUAAAACUCAAAUGAAUUGACGGGGGCCCGCACAAGCGGUGGAGCAUGUGGUUUAAUUCGAAGCAACGCGAAGAACCUUACCUGGCCUUGACAUGCUGAGAACUUUCCAGAGAUGGAUUGGUGCCUUCGGGAACUCAGACACAGGUGCUGCAUGGUUGUCGUCAGCUCGUGUCGUGAGAUGUUGGGUUAAGUCCCGUAACGAGCGCAACCCUUGUCCUUAGUUACCAGCACCUCGGGUGGGCACUCUAAGGAGACUGCCGGUGACAAACCGGAGGAAGGUGGGGAUGACGUCAAGUCAUCAUGGCCCCUUACGGCCAGGGCUACACACGUGCUACAAUGGUCGGUACAAAGGGUUGCCAAGCCGCGAGGUGGAGCUAAUCCCAUAAAACCGAUCGUAGUCCGGAUCGCAGUCUGCAACUCGACUGCGUGAAGUCGGAAUCGCUAGUAAUCGUGAAUCAGAAUGUCACGGUGAAUACGUUCCCGGGCCUUGUACACACCGCCCGUCACACCAUGGGAGUGGGUUGCUCCAGAAGUAGCUAGUCUAACCGCAAGGGGGACGGUUACCACGGAGUGAUUCAUGACUGGGGUGAAGUCGAAACAAGGUAGCCGUAGGGGAACCUGCGGCUG
rnacentral:rRNA from 1 species